rnacentral:sRNA from 20 species
GUCAGCACCCCCGCCUGAAGCACGGGGGCUUCGUGCCUCCCGCAACAGAAUAGCUGACCAGCUAUAGCCGUAACUGGCUACGUUCAGAGCAAGAGUUAAAGUUCCUACCCUGGAAUGCGUGCUAGUUCCCGGCUCUAGA